rnacentral:rRNA from 1 species
AGAACGAACGCUGGCGGCAUGCCUAAUACAUGCAAGUCGAACGAACACUUCGGUGUUAGUGGCGCACGGGUGCGUAACGCGUGGGAAUCUGCCCUUGGGUUCGGAAUAACAGUUGGAAACGACUGCUAAUACCGGAUGAUGACGAAAGUCCAAAGAUUUAUCGCCCAGGGAUGAGCCCGCGUAGGAUUAGCUAGUUGGUGAGGUAAAGGCUCACCAAGGCGACGAUCCUUAGCUGGUCUGAGAGGAUGAUCAGCCACACUGGGACUGAGACACGGCCCAGACUCCUACGGGAGGCAGCAGGUAGGAUAGUGA